CUAAUAUCAACAGAGAUCUAGAAUAAUUAAAAUAUUUAGCAAGUGAGUUGAGUAGCAACAAAAUCCAGCAUACACUCCAAACUCCAAAGCAUCUCAAAAAGAGACUCUGAUCUGAUGAAAGUCUGUCCGUUCCAAGUUCCAGCACAGCCAAACAACCCCUUAAUCUUCAGUUUCUCUACACAGAUUCACAUGGAUGAGCCGUUCAUCUCUUACACCAACACCGGCAGGUCUCUCCCGCCGCUCCUCCCUCUGCCUGAAAACAACGAAAUCUGCAUUCCGCCGCCGCCCAUCACCCCAUCCCCCCGAGAAAUCAAAGACAUCCUCAUCUUCGGCUCUCCCUCCUCUUCCUCAUCACCUUUCAAAGACUCGAUUUUUCGCGAUAUCUGCAUUCCGCCGCCGCCAAUCACCCCAUCACCCAGAGAAAUCAAAGACAUCCUCAUUUUCGGCUCUCCCUCCUCAUCCUCACCAGGUCUCAAAGACUCAAUUUUUACCGAAAGGUUGAAUCUUGACAACAAUCAGAAGCAAUCGAGCCAUGACCCAGAAAUCCCACAAUCAUGGCUAAUCAACCCCAAUUAUCCACCCUCCACGAGCAACCUCCACCGCUCCAAAACCGCACCGGCUAUGGCGGCAAUCAACGAAAUUGACAAUUGCUCGAAUCCGAAGCCGCCGCCGAAGUUUGCCACGCCCUCAAUUGUGAAGCAGGGUGUGAUUUUCUUGAUCAUUUACUUGAGCUUUGGUGUGAUUAUUUACUCUUUCAAUAUCGAUUCUUUCACUGCCAUUAGAACUCACCCUGUUGUAGAUGCUUUGUAUUUCUGCAUUGUGACCAUGUGUACAAUUGGCUAUGGUGAUAUAACUCCUGAUAGCACUGCUACCAAGCUGUUUUCGGUCACUUUCGUGCUUGUGGGAUUCGGUUUCAUCGAUAUUUUGUUAAGUGGGAUGGUUAGUUACAUGCUUGAUUUGCAAGAGAAUCAUCUCUUGAAGACUAUCAAGAGCCGGGGUGCUCAUGAUCCCCCCUCGUAUAUCAUCGAUGUGAAGAAGGGGAGGAUGAGGAUACGGAUGAAAGUGGCGUUGGCGUUGGGCGUUGUGGUUCUUUGCAUUGGAGUUGGGGUUGGUGUUAUGCAUUUUGUGGAGAGGCUUGAUUUGUUGGAUUCGUUCUAUCUGUCUGUCAUGUCUGUGACCACUGUUGGAUACGGGGAUAGGGCGUUUAAGUCUUUGCCCGGGAGGGUUUUUGCCUCCGUUUGGUUGCUCGUGUCGACUCUUGCUGUUGCUAGAGCCUUCCUCUACUUGACUGAACUGAGGGUUGAGAGGCGGCACAGGAGGAUGGCUCAGUGGGUGCUCGGACAGGAUAUGACUGUCUCGCAGUUUCUUGCUGCAGAUAUCGAUAACAAUGGCUUUGUAACUAAAUCCGAAUUUGUAGUAUACAAGCUCAAGGAGAUGGGCAAGGUAACAGAGAAGGACAUUUUGCAGAUAUGCAAACAGUUUGAACGCCUCGAUGAAGGAAACUGUGGGAAGAUAACUCUCGCAGAUCUUAUGGAAAGUCACCAUUGAUACAAUACUUUCUUCCAAAUUCUGACCAUUCAGUCAAGGGGCAAUGCAAUUGCAGCUUCGAACUCAGAUGAGACGAGGAGCAGUUGGAUGCUCGGAUCAUAUCCUUGCUCAUCCUUGUGAUAGGCCGCCUCUUCUAUCUCUAUACCAGGAAGAUUUAUUUGGAAAACUUCCGCAAGUACUAACGAGAGAAAUCCUGGAAAGACUCUCGAUUAAAAGAUGCAAGUGUGUUGGAAUGAUAAUUAGCAAAGUUGGGUCGUGACAAUAUCUAGGGGAAUGAUAAUUCUUGGGUGAAGGAAUGUAUCAGCCAUGAAUAUGUCUACGGAGCUGCUAGACUACCAAAUAUUUUGGAAAAUGAUGACUUUUUCUUCGUGAAUUUUAAGGAUAGGCUUUUUGUCUUCCCCAAAGACACCGGUGCGACUCCGGCGACUUACCGUUUCUUAUCUAUAUGUCGUUAUUCCAACGUUGUUAUUUACUAUAACCCAACGUUGUCACCAUAAUAACUGAUU